UCCGUGAUGGUGUAGCGGUAACAUCGGUCGCUCUCAAGCGAUGACCUCAGGCUUAGCCUGAUGUGCAAAACUCGUGUCCCGACCAGCCCGGGGUUCGACUCCCCGUCACGGAA